rnacentral:rRNA from 1 species
UACGGAAGGCAGCAGUGGGGAAUAUUGCACAAUGGGCGAAAGCCUGAUGCAGCUAUGCCGCGUGUAUGAAGAAGGCCUUAGGGUUGUAAAGUACUUUCAUCGGGGAGGAAAAAACAAAACUAAUAAUUUUAUUUCUUGACGUUACCCGAAAAAGAAGCACCGGCUAACUCCGUGCCAGCAGCCGCGGUAAUACGGAGGGUGCUAGCGUUAAUCAGAAUUACUGGGCGUAAAGAACGCGUAGGUGGUUUUUUUAAGUCAGAUGUGAAAUCCCUGGGCUUAACCUGGAACUGCAUUUUGAAACUGAAAUACUAGAGUAUCGUAGAGGGAGGUAGAAUUCUAGGUGUAGCGGUGAAAUGCGUAGAUAUCUGGAGGAAUACCUGUGGCGAAAGCGGCCUCCUAAACGAAUACUGACACUGAGGUGCGAAAGCGUGGGGAGCAAACAGGGAUUAGAUACC